CUUGAGCUCCCUGGGCUCCAGGGCUGGGGGGGACCAGCAGGCGAGGGGGGCUGUUGGGAGCCACAGCCCCGAGCCCGGUCGCCUCACUUGGCGGACGUGAGGCCUGUAGUAAAGAACAAAGCCUGAGGUAGAUUACCCCUCCCAUCGAGCACGUUAGUUUCCUGCUUACCGCGUAAGCAACCCGCUCAACAAUAUAGUCUGCCUGGCAACUGAUGAUGUUAGCCAAUCAGCCUGCCUUGCUUACUUUAACAUGAUUGGACACUGUAUCCGUAUAUAUACUGGUGCCACCCCUGGGGGAGAAGAAGAAGCCCGGAAGUAGAAGCCCAGAAGGAGCCGCGGGGAGCGGACCAAAGGAGGCUUCGGCUGGGAGCGAUCCCAGGGCAGGCUGUACGGAGAAGGAAAAUAAAAGAAAAGGUUUUAAAUAGCGCCUUCAUGAAACCACCUUCAAAUUAGCCUAGGAGCCCGUGCCAUCUGCCCGCCGCAGCCCUGCCUGCCUGACCUUGGCUCCGUGCAUUCCCAGGGAGGAAGGAGAGCGUCACCGAAAGAGGAUGUGGGAGAGCAGCGCCCACAGAGCCCACGUGUCCUGUGAGGACCUGAAAACUGAUUCUUUUGAAACUGCUCAUGCCUCUGGACUGUCCUGCGUCCCCAGGGGCUGCUAAGAUUUGGUAACCGCCAACCUGACAUCUGACCGUGGACUUCUCUCCAGCACCCCCUUACUGCAAAGCAACACUGGGAACCAAAAAUGAUUAGAGAGAGGCAGGGAGCGUCUCACCAUGCUGGGGGAGCGGUGGUAGGUGACCCCACAGCACCCCGUCAGAGGAAGUGGAUCCCCGCAUCCCUGCCCGGACCUGAGGUUUGGGAAGGGGCUGCUUGGGGGACACCGAGCCCCACAGCUGUGUUUGAGCCUGGUGCCCCACCUCCCCUGCCCAAGCACAGCCUGUCUCGUUCCUUUCUCUGCCAGGCUGAUCUAGAAAUUCCAGACAACCCAGUGAGAGUUCUUGAUUGCAGCAGCGGGCACCCGACCUACAAUAACAUGUGAAAAGAUAGGGGCUCCCUUCCAGGGCAGCAGCUGCAGGGUGAAGUUGAAAUUGAAGCUAGAAUGUGCACCAGACCCACCUGCCGCCAGUAGGGUUACUCCUCCAGGGCAGUACAGAUACGAGCAUCUCGGUCUCCGUCUUUGUCCCCUCCGUGUUCAGGUAGUUAAUACGCAUCCUGCAUUAAACUUUGCUUUGUGGAA